AACGUAGGAGACAAACGUUAUCCGGAGUUACUGGGCGUAAAGGGCGUGUAGGUGGUAAUGUAAGUCUGGCGUGAAAUUUUUCGGCUUAACCGGGAAAGGUCGUCGGAGACUGCAUAACUAGAGGACGGUAGAGGCGUGUGGAAUUCCGGGUGUAGUGGUGAAAUGCGUAGAUAUCAGGAGGAACACCGGUGGCGAAGGCGGUUCUCUGGGCAUUACCUGACGCUGAGGAGCGAAAGUGUGGGGAGCGAACAGG
rnacentral:rRNA from 1 species